GAGAGGUGACUGUCACUGAAGAAGAGAUGUGUCACUGAUGAGGAGGAGAGGUGGGAGAGAGGAGGAGACUGUCACUGAUGAGGAGGAGAGGUGGCAGAGAGGAGGAGACCGUCACUGAUGAGGAGGAGAGGUGGUAGAGAGGGGACUGUCACUGAUGAGAAGGAGACGUGAUAUAGAGGAGACUGUCACUAAUGAGGAGGAGAGGUGGUAGAGCGGAAGAGACGGUCACUGAUGAGGAUGAGAGGUGGUAGAGAGGAGACUAUCCCUGAUGAGGAAGAGAGGUGGUAGAGAGGAGACUGUCAAUGAUGAGGAGGAGAGGUGGUAGAGGGGAGACUGUCACUGAUGAGGUGGUAUAGAGGAGACUGUCACUGAUGAGGAGAGUUGGUAGAGAGGAGACUGUCACUGAUGAGGAGGAGAGUUGGUAGAGAGGUGACUGUCACUGAUGAAGAAGAGAUGUGGCAGAGAGGAGACUGUCACUGAUGAGGUGGUAGAGAGGAGAAGACUGUCACUGAAGAAAAGAUGUGUCACAGAUGAGGAUGAUAGGUGGUAGAGAGGAGGAGACUGUCACUGAUGAGAAGGAGAGGUGCUAGAGAGGAGUAGACUGUCACUGAUGAGGUGGAGAGGUGGUAGAGAGUAGACUGUCACUGAUGAGGAGGAGAGGUGGCAGAGAGGAGACUGUCACUGGUGAGGAGGAGAGGUGGUAGAGAGGAGACUGUCACUGAUGAGGAGGAGAGGUGGUAGAGAGGAGACUGUCACUGAUGAGGAGGAGAGGUGGUAGAGAGGAGACUGUCACUGAUGAGAAGGAGAGGUGGUAGAGCGGAAGAGACGGUCACUGAUGAGGAUGAGAGGUGGUAGAGAGGAGGAGACUAUCCCUGAUGAGGAAGAGAGGUGGUAGAGGGGAGACUGUCACUGAUGAGAAGGAGAGAUGGUAGAGAGGAGGAGACUGUCACUGAUGAGGAUGAGAGGUGGUAGAGAGGAGGAGACUGUCACUGAUGAGGUGGUAGAGAGGUGACUGUCACUGAAGAGAUGUGUCACUGAUGAGGAGGAGAGGUGGUAGAGAGGAGGAGACUGUCACUGAUGAGGGGAGGAGUGUCUCACUGAGGAGGAAGAGAAGAGGAGACUGUCCCCGAUGAGGAGGAUAGGUGGUAGAGAGGAGGAGACUGUCACUGAUGAGGAGGAAAGGUGGUAGAGAGGAGACUGUCACUGAUGAGGUGGUAGAGAGGAGGUGACUGUCACUGAUGAAGAAGAGAUGUGUCACUGAUGAGGAGGAGAGGUGGUAGAGAGGUGACUGUCACUGAUGAGGAGGAGAGGUGGUAGAGAGGAGGAGACUGUCACUGAAGAAGAGAUGUGUCACUGAUGAGGAGAGGAGAGGUGGUAGAGAGGAGGAGACUGUCACUGAAGAAGAGAUGUGUCACUGAUGAGGAGAGGAGAGGUGGUAGAGAGGAGACUGUCACUGAUGAGGAGGAGAGGUGGCAGAGAGGAGACUGUCACUGAUGAGGAGGAGAGGUGGCAGAGAGGAGGAGACUGUCACUGAUGAGGAGAGGUGGUAGAGAGAAGACUGUCACUGAUGAGGAGGAGAUUUGGUAGAGAGGUGACUGUCACUGAUGAAGAAGAGAUGUGGCAGAGAGGAGGAGACUGUCACUGAUGAGGAGGAGAGGUGGUAGAGAGGAGGAGACUGUCACUGAUGAGAAGGAGAGGUGCUAGAGAGGAGUAGACUGUCACUGAUGAGGUGGAGAGGUGGUAGAGAGUAGACUGUCACUGAUCAGGAGGAGCGGUGGUAGAGAGGAGAAGACUGUCACUCUUGAGGAGGAGAAGUGGUGGAGAGGAGACUGUCACUGAUGAGGAGGAGAGGUGGUAGAGAGUAGACUGUCACUGAUCAGGAGGAGCGGUGGUAGAGAGAAGACUGUCACUUUUGAGGAGGAGAAGUGGUGGAGAGGAGGAGACUGUCACUGAUGAGAAGGAGGUGCUAGAGAGGAGUAGACUGUCACUGAUGAGGUGGUAGAGAGUAGACUGUCACUGAUCAGGAGGAGCGGUGGUAGAGAGGAGAAGACUGUCACUCUUGAGGAGGAGAAGUGGUGGAGAGGAGACUGUCACUGAUGAGGAUGAGAGGUGGUAGAGAGGAGGAGACUAUCCCUGAUGAUGAGGAGAGGUGGCAGAGUUGAGACUGUCAAUUAUGAGGAGGAGAGGUGGUAGAGAGGAGACUCACUGAUGAGGAGGAGAGGUGGUAGAGAGGAGGAGACUGUCACUGAUGAGGUGGUAGAGAGGAGAAGACUGUCACUGAUGAGGUGGUAGAGAGGAGGAGACUGUCACUGAUGAGGUGGUAGAGAGGAGAAGACUGUCACUGAUGAGGUGGUAGAGAGGAGGAGACUGUCACUGAUGAGGAGGAGAGGUGGUAGAGAGGAGAAGACUGUCACUGAUGAGGAGGAGAGUUGGUAGAGAGGGGGAGACUAUCCCUGAUGAGGAAGAGAGGUGGUAGAGAGGAGAAGACUGUCACUGAGGUGGUAGAGAGGAGGAGACUGUCACUGAUGAGGAGGAGAUGUGGUCGAGAGGAGCAGACAGUCACUGAUGAGGAGGAGAGAUGGUAGAGAGGAGCAGACAGUCACUGAUGAGGUGGUAGAGAGGUGACUGUCACUGAUGAGGAGAGAUGGUAGAGAGGAGGAGACUGUCACUGAUGAUAAGGAGAGGUGGUAGAGAGGAGGAGACUGUCACUGAUGAGGUGGUAGAGAGGAGACUGUCACUGAUGAGGAGGAGAGGUGGUAGAGAGGAGGAGACUGUCACUGAAGAAGAGAUGUGUCACAGAUGAGGAGGAUAGGUGGUAGAGAGGAGGAGACUGUCACUGAUGAGGAGGAGAGGUGGUAGAGAGGAGGAGACUGUCCCUGAUGAGGAGGAAAGGUGGUAGAGAGGAGAAGACUAUCACUGAUGAGGUGGAGAGGUGGUAGAGAGGAGGUGACUGUCACUGAUGAGGAGGAGAGAUGGUAGAGUGGAGGAGACUGUCACUGAUGAGGAGGAGAGGUGGUAGAGAGGAG